UACGGGGGGGGCAAGCGUUGUUCGGAAUUACUGGGCGUAAAGGGCGCGUAGGCGGCGCUCUAAGUCGGAUGUGAAAACUCUGGGCUCAACCCAGAGCCUGCAUCCGAAACUGGAGUGCUAGAGUUCUGGAGGGGAAAGCGGAAUUCCUGGUGUAGCGGUGAAAUGCGUAGAUAUCAGGAGGAACACCGGUGGCGAAGGCGGCUUUCUGGACAGAAACUGACGCUGAGGCGCGAAAGCUAGGGGAGCAAACAGG
rnacentral:misc_RNA from 1 species